AGAUGUGUAGGGUGAUCUGGCUACGACAUCUAUCACCAGGGUUGAUUUGGCUGAUUUGGCUGGCCAGGCAGGUGUCCCUUUCCUCCUUCACCACUUCAUGUGCGUCCCUCACAAAAGGUAAAAAAGAAGGACCACCCCUGCUACAGAAGGACCAUUUCUUCAUCUAGGGUAUAUGAGCAGCUGCAGUCCCCUGCUAGAACCUUCAAACAAGCUCUCCAGAAUACUCCACUAGUCCCCGAAUUCUUCAUCUAGGGUAUAUGAGCAGCUGCAGUCCCCUGCUAGAACCUUCAAACAAGCUCUCCAGAA
rfam:Fukomys damarensis contig117093, whole genome shotgun sequence.